CCUACGGGCGGCAGCAGUAGGGAAUCUUUCACAAUGGGCGAAAGCCUGAUGGAGCAACGCCGCGUGCAGGAUGAAGGCCUUCGGGUUGUAAACUGCUUUUAUAAGCGAGAAAUAUGAUGGUAACUUAUGAAUAAGGAUCGGCUAACUACGUUCCAGCAGCCGCGGUCAUACGUAGGAUCCGAGCAUUAUCCGGAGUGACUGGGUGUAAAGAGUUGCGUAGGUGGCAUAAUAAGUAGCUAGUGAAAUCUGGUGGCUCAACCAUUCAGACGAUUAGCUAAACUGUUAAGCUCGAGACCGUUAGUGGUAACUGGAAUUUGUAGUGUAGGAGUGAAAUCCGUAGAUAUGAGAAAGAACACCAAUAGCGUAGGCAGGUUACUGGGACGGUUCUGACACUAAGGCACGAAAGCGUAGGGAGCGAACGGGAUUAGAUACCCUUGUAGUC
rnacentral:rRNA from 1 species